rnacentral:rRNA from 1 species
AUUCAUCAUGUAUGCUUUUCUAAUUAUAAGGGGGGUGGGGGGAUGAAGAGGAAACUUUUCGAGCCACACACCGGAAUUUACUUUGAGGAAUUAAGUGUUCAUAGCAAAUAAGUGUUUGAAUACUACAGCAUGGAAUAACAAAUAGGACUUGGUAUGUUUGUGGAGUAGAGAAACCAAAGUAAAGAUGAAUAGGGACAGUUGGGGGCAUUGGAAUUGAUAGUCAGAGGUGAAAUUCAUGGAUUUAUCAAAGACCAACAAAGGCGAAAGCAUUUGCCAAGGAUGUUUUCAUUGAUCAAGAACGAAAGUCAGGGGAUCGAAGACGAUUAGAUACCGUCGUAGUCUUGACCGUAAACGAUGCCGACUUGGGGGAGGUGCGAGAUGAGAAGCGCAUCACAACCAAAGGAGAAAUCAAAGUGUAUGGGUUCUGGGGGGAGUAUAGUCGCAAGGCCGAAACUUGAAGGAAUUGACGGAAGGGCACCACCAGGAGUGGAGCCUGCGGCUUAAUUUGACUCAACACGGGAAAACUUACCAGGUCCGGACAUGAUGAGGAUUGACAGAUUGAGAGCACUUUUAAGAUUUCAUGGGAGGUGGUGCAUGGCCGUUCUUAGUUGGUGGAGUGAUUUGUCAGGUUAAUUCCGAUAACGAGCGAGACCCUGUGAUGACGGUAAUGAUUGAGUAUGUAAAUACGCGAGACGUUUCUUCAUCGACACCCCA